AAACGUAGUUACAAAUUACAAGGUGUGUGUAAGGUUACAAAUUUAAUUUUCAAUGAACAAAAACAUCUAUUUUUAGUUUUCACAGGUCGUGAUCUUUAAAUAAGAUGAAUAACUCUAACCAAUAAUUCAGUCUUAGCUAGUCCGCGCGGCAGAUGAUGCAAACUAGACGGAAAUUAUGCAUGUUGAAAUGCAAUAAAAUAAUUAAAAUUAAGCCUUUUAUCUAUUUUUUAAAGUUUGCAGUCAAAUGUCACUCAGCAAAUCUUAAAAGAUUGCUUCUCAAAAUUCGGCAAUAACGGCACAAUUUUUGUUCGUGAAUCAUCAUACAUCAUCAUAAUUUAUUAUUUAAUAUAUGUAUAUGUUAUGUAUAUAUAUUUAAAAUAUUCUUACGUCUUCUUUGUUGAAUUUUUUAUUCAGUCCGCCCUCGCGUCCUGCAUAUUAAAACUUUUUUAAUAAGUAAAAAAAGUUUUUUUUUGCGUACAAACUUCCGGAAAGAAUUAAAGCGGAUUAGCGCUGCAGUGGUGCAGGUGCAGAAGAUGUCAAACCUUUGCUGUGGUAUUUUGAAGAAAUUAUUUUUCUUUACCCAAGAAACACCUAGUGCUUCAGUGAGCACGAUGGACAUAUCUCAGGAUGUUCACGACGACGAGGAUCAUGCAGGUGUAAAUGAAACCAGCGGCCACACAGCGAAUAAUGAACCUCGCCAAAAUAACAGGAAACGUACAGCUCUACAUCUCACUGACGAAUUGGUGCAAUUGGCUUCCAAACGCCUUCAACAACCACAAGACGACACCGAGAAAAUUGCUGCAUCUUGGGCAGUCGAGCUCCGAAGCUGGGAAGAAAGCAGUCAAAGAUAUUUUAUUUGAAGAAAUAACUGUGAACCCUGGGAACAUCGUAAUUCUGUGGAAAAUAACGUCUCACGAUUCUCCACACCAUAUUGUGUUCAGUCCCUCCCUUUAAUACCUCUUCAUUCCGUCAGUACGAAUUAACAGAUCCCUCUCCGCAAGACACAAGUACACAUUUCGCUACUUUCCAGUAAGAAUAUUACCUUUAAAAUUUAUGUAGGUAUACAUUCUGUACAAUGUCAAUUCUUAUUCUACCCAAUCAAUGUA